rnacentral:rRNA from 1 species
CACGUAGGGUGCAAGCGUUAAUCGGAAUUACUGGGCGUAAAGCGUGCGCAGGCGGUGAUGUAAGACAGAUGUGAAAUCCCCGGGCUCAACCUGGGAACUGCAUUUGUGACUGCAUCGCUGGAGUACGGCAGAGGGGGAUGGAAUUCCGCGUGUAGCAGUGAAAUGCGUAGAUAUGCGGAGGAACACCGAUGGCGAAGGCAAUCCCCUGGGCCUGUACUGACGCUCAUGCACGAAAGCGUGGGGAGCAAACAGG